CCUACGGGUGGCUGCAGUCGAGAAUCAUUCACAAUGGGGGAAACCCUGAUGGUGCGACGCCGCGUGGGGGAAUGAAGGUCUUCGGAUUGUAAACCCCUGUCAUGUGGGAGCAAAUUAAAAAGAUAGUACCACAAGAGGAAGAGACGGCUAACUCUGUGACAGCAGCCGCGGUAAUACAGAGGUCUCAAGCGUUGUUCGGAAUCACUGGGCGUAAGGCGUGCGUAGGCUGUUUCGUAAGUCGUGUGUGAAAGGCGCGGGCUCAACCCGCGGACGGCACAUGUUACUGCGAGACUAGAGUAAUGGAGGGGGAGCCGGAAUUCUCGGUGUAGCAGUGAAAUGCGUAGAUAUCGAGAGGAACACUCGUGGCGAAGGCGGGUUCCUGGACAUUAACUGACGCUGAGGCACGAAGGCCAGGGGAGCGAAAGGGAUUAGAUACCCGAGUAGUC
rnacentral:rRNA from 1 species